GAGUUUGAUCGUGGCUCAGGAUGAACGCUGGCGGCGUGCUUAACACAUGCAAGUCGAACGAAGCGCCUUAUUUGAUUUUCUUCGGAACUGAAGAUUUGGUGACUGAGUGGCGGACGGGUGAGUAACGCGUGGGUAACCUGCCCUGUACAGGGGGAUAACAAUCAGAAAUGACUGCUAAUACCGCAUAAGACCACAGCACCGCAUGGUGCAGGGGUAAAAACUCCGGUGGUACAGGAUGGACCCGCGUCUGAUUAGCUGGUUGGUGAGGUAACGGCUCACCAAGGCGACGAUCAGUAGCCGGCUUGAGAGAGUGAACGGCCACAUUGGGACUGAGACACGGCCCAAACUCCUACGGGAGGCAGCAGUGGGGAAUAUUGCACAAUAGGGGGAAACCCGUAGAUGCAGCAACGCCGCGUGAGUGAAGAAGUA
rnacentral:rRNA from 1 species